rnacentral:rRNA from 1 species
CGCCAGCCUGACGGAGCCAGACCGCGUGGGGGAGGAAGGCCCUUGGGUUGUAAACCCCUUUUCUCAGGGAAGAAGCCCUGACGGUACCUGAGGAAUCAGCCUCGGCUAACUCCGUGCCAGCAGCCGCGGUAAUACGGAGGAGGCAAGCGUUAUCCGGAAUCAUUGGGCGUAAAGCGUUCGUAGGCGGCUGUUCAAGUCUGCUGUCAAAGGUCGGAGCUCAACUCCGGUUCGGCAGUGGAAACUGGUGGGCUAGAGGGCGACAGGGGUAGAGGGAAUUCCCAGUGUAGCGGUGAAAUGCGUAGAGAUUGGGAAGAACACCGGUGGCGAAAGCGCUCUACUGGGUCGCACCUGACCCUCAGGGACGAAAGCUAAGGUAGCG